CACGUAGGGCGCGAGCGUUGUCCGGAAUUAUUGGGCGUAAAGAGCUCGUAGGCGGCCUGUUGCGUCCGCUGUGAAAGCCCGGGGCUUAACCCCGGGUCUGCAGUGGAUACGGGCAGGCUAGAGGUAGGUAGGGGAGAAUGGAAUUCCCGGUGUAGCGGUGAAAUGCGCAGAUAUCGGGAGGAACACCGGUGGCGAAGGCGGUUCUCUGGGCCUUCACUGACGCUGAGGAGCGAAAGCGUGGGGAGCGAACAGG
rnacentral:rRNA from 1 species